ensembl:lncRNA
GCUCCCCAAACAGACGCACACCCAGCCACACGCGCGCGCGCGCGCGCGCGCACACACACACACACACACACACAUACACACACACACACGCACGCACCCCCGCGCGCACACGCCCGCCCGCUCUGCCUCUGCGCCCUCCAUCCCGGCUCGCUCAUUCUCUCGCCCUCUCGCUUCCCCUGCGGUCUCUCGCUCUGCGCGCACACACCACACACACGCACACGCACACACACGCGCGCACACACGCAGCCGGCACAGGCAGCAGCGGCGGCGGCGGCGGCGGCUGCUCAAGUCAGGACGAACCUCUCUAGGUACCUUCUUGAGAAGGCGGCGGCGGCGGCGGCAGCGGCAGCCGGAGCAUCCCUCCUCCGCCGGAGAGGGAGCACCGCCGAGAGUUUCCAUUCCCUUUGCCGUUCCCUUCCCCCUCCUUUUAUUUUUCGAGAGAAUUUCUUCUUCGCUUAUUGGUUUAAUUUGAUUUUGAAAAAUUUUGGUUGCUUGUGUGUGUGCUUCCCCCCCCUUCCUCAUUUUAUUUGCAUCCAGAGCAUGGCGGGCUGCGGGCUGUCGGAAGAUACCUUCUUCUCUUCCUUCUUUUACAACUACGGCUCCUCCUGGGAAACCCCUUCCAACCAGGAUUUAAAGGAAACUGACAAUAACCUUGGAAGCACAUGGAAUUCAGCAAGCGUUUUCUGGGAACCUCCUCUGUGCCAAGUGCUAUAUUGUUCCCUGUGGGAAGAUGUAAAACAGUUCCUGCUCUACAGAUACUUCUAGUCUACCUCGGGAUUCAGGAAGGAUGUAUGAAAACUUGACCACCACCACAAUAACAGUUCAGGGCAACAGUUACAAGGCUUCCCAGGAUUAACUGUCAAGUGAAUCGCACAGAUAAUCAUUGUCCUAGGAACUCCUGAGACCACUCUUUGAGUUUGCUAUUGGGCAAGGAAUUUGAACAGGCAUCCAAAGAUUGGGAAGAUGCUCCAAAACAGACUGGAGAGAAGAGCGGAAGUCAGAGUGAGAUACUGGAGCAGUUUCUCUUUUGGAAGAAUUCCUUCUGGGGAAAAAGUCUCCAUGGAGGUACGGGAUUUGUCCCAGGGGGCUGAGUCACCUGCCCAUGACUUGUUCGUUAAUUCAUGGCAAAUCCAGGCUUAGAACUCCAGGGUCUGUUUGAGUAAAGGGGUCAUGUUAUUGGGGUCUAUCUUGGAUCUUUGAUGAGAAAGUGAAAGUCAAAGUUGCUCAGUCAUGUCUGACUCUUUGUGACCCCAUGGACUAUAGUCCAUGGAAUUCUCCAGGCCAGAAUACUGAUGGGAAAGAUCAGAGCAAUGAUAACAGGAUUCUCUGAGUGACUUCGGGAUCCUUGUGCCUGCAGGUUAGAAUCUAUCUAAUCCUGUCUUGGAAAGUUUCGUAUUUUCUUCUGGAAAUCUUUUUUUUUUUUUUUCAUAUGAAAGUGGUUAUGGGAACACCCAGAUUGUGGCUGUAUCUGGCCACAUUCCUAGGUUUGAGUGUCUGCCUGAUACCAGUUGAACACUUAACAGGUCAUCAUAGGAGGCUGUUUUAGUGACUCCAACCUGGAACCUGGAGGAAGUCAAGAGGGAAACAGGAAGAAGUGACAAGUACAGAGAAUGGAAGGACCCAUAUGGAUAACUUAUAACUGGUGUGCCCAAGGAGUCCUAGUUGCUCUGCAGAGUCGUGGCUUUCAAAAUUUGUCUUAUGAACUGCAAAGCCCAGUUCAGUUAAACUUCUCACUCAAAAAUUUCCCAAUUUAGAACAGAUGAAGAUGGUCUUCCCAUAUCCCCUGCACCUGAGCCUUCCCUGAGAGGGUGAGGAGGCUGAGUCCUAACCAGUGGACCACCAGGGAAUUCCCAAUAUCUUUUUAUUUUGUAUCUUAUCCUCUUCAAGUUCUUUUUGGUUCUUGGGCUAUAAUAUAUAUAGUAUAUUAAUGCAGAAGUAAUGUAUAAUUAAAUUAUAAAUUAAAAAACAUUCUGGGGAUUUGUGCUCAAUUUUAUUUUUUACUUUACUAAUGGAAAUAAUGUUUGGAAACCUCAGUCCUGGUCUGUGAGUUUCAAGCGUCAGUAUUUUAAUUUUCUUCUACUAAUGGGGCUAGAUCCCAUUGUGAUAUAAACAGGAUGCCCCGUUCUUCUGAGAAGAGAGUUUAACUGCUCACAGGCAUUCUGCAAUUUGUCAUUUAUGGCAGGUUUUGAGGCCAUCAACAUUGCAGUGGUAUUUUUGAGAGGAAAUUUUUAUCAUUAUAGCUCCAACACACAUCACAAGCAGAAACAAUAAUUUCAUUAGCAGCCAAAAAUUGUAAUAAUGCUGUUGAAUAUAAAUUUCACUGCUAUGGUAAUUCUAAAACACAAGUAUGAUGAAUAAAAAAUUGCAGCAGUAUUAUUGGGAAUAAACU